GUUAAACCCCACUAAACCCGCUGGUUCCUGCUGACAGAUCACACGGGGGAAAAAGAGGGAGAACAAGAAAACAAGGAGUCAGGAAGGGGUUGGCACGUUUUCAUGACAAAUAGACCGAGUUAAUGUGCAGCGACAGCGAUGCAACAAAGCCACAUUAACAACCACCUGGGUCAGACAUGGACAACAGAAUCACACUAAAACUAAAAAUGAGCAGGUUAACGCGGUCAGUCAGGACGCACGCGAGCUGCUGCACUGACACCAACACGGCGCUAAAUCCUACGAGGAUCGACUCAGCUGCUUGCUUAUUCGCCACCUUCUUGGUCGGACUGGCCCGGUCCACCUUAACUGGUGAACGCGGCUGCUGCGGCGUUUAAGGUGGACCGGGGGAACCCGAACGAAUGAGAAAAGCGAGACAACUUCAGCCUCGACCUCGCACUUCUGGCGUUUCUCGGGCGUGAAAGCUGCACGUGCAAGUUUAUUUAAACCAAAGCCUCACUCCCCAGUACAGCCUAAAGUUGUGAAUUCCCGAUAUUCCCGAAGAAUUCCAAAGCAAACAGAAAGAGGCUAGAGGUUACCGUGUCGCCCUGUACGUCUUCGGGAUUCGGUGUAACGGCUCUGAGUGGAGGGAAAAGAAGGAAAAGUGCCGGGAUAAGUUCAGAAAGCCGUGUUUUCCCACCUGUGCGUGUCCUCUGUUGUUGCUCUCUCUCUCUCUCUCUUUCUGCUUCACGGCCGGAGCAAAACACAGGCGGAGCUCAUCUUAAAUCACCAAUACUUCACCUUUAUCCUCCCCGGAGCGCCGCUGUGAGGUCCUCGGCGGACGGCAGGGGCGUUUGAAGACGGCAGCGCGUCGCUGGCGCACACUAACGUGCUGAGGAGAGACGGAUGAAGGCGGAAGGAAGGAGAGAGGAUUUGUUUGGGUUCAUUUACCUGGAGAAGCCAACGGGAUAAAAACCGGCGGCGAAAGCGCGACAUCUGGCGGCCGCCGCGCGGCACUGCAGCCGAGCCCGGUUUAGGAUUACAGCCAACGGAACCAAGACGAGCAACACCUGCGGAGCCCGCUGUAUAACAAAAUAACGCGUGGCCACGACAUAGCAAGGCGUGGGGACGAGAUCGCUGCUGACUAAACCGUGGCCACGCAUUGGGAUCUCGUUCCCACGCCUUGUUUUUAAUUCAUACAGGACGUCACCAGCGGGGCUCCGUGUUUCUGUUGAUUAAUCGGCCACAAACGCCGUCACAGCGUUACGAUGUUGUAUGUAUUUCACUCAUUUAACUCGCGGGGAGCAGAAAUAAGACGGACGGACAGGCCGCAGAAACCAUUUCUGUGACGUUUACACGUUUGCAUAUGCAGGCCAAUCAGAACGGAGCUCAUUUACAUGUAUCGGUCUUAAAGGUACAGUAUAACAAAACGGUUUUUAAGG
ensembl:lncRNA